rnacentral:rRNA from 1 species
UAACUCCGAUUGAUCCUGUCGGACCCCACUGCUAUCGAGGUGGGACUAAGCCAUGCAAGUCGUACGCCCCCAGGCCACGGUGGGGGCGUGGCGGACGGCUCCGUAACACGUAGCUAACCUACCCUUGGGACGGGGAUAACCCCGGGAAACUGGGGCUAAUCCCCGAUAGGUGAGGAGGCCUGGAAUGGUUCCUCGCCGAAAGGGGGUCACACCCAUGCCGCGUGGCUCCGCCCAAGGAUGGGGCUGCGGCCGAUCAGGUAGUUGGUGAGGUAACGGCUCACCAAGCCUCUGACCGGUACGGGCCGUGAGAGCGGGAGCCCGGAGAUGGGCACUGAGACAAGGGCCCAGGCCCUACGGGGCGCAGCAGGCGCGAAACCUCCACAAUGCGCGCAAGCGCGAUGGGGCUACCUCGAGUGCCACCUGAUGAAGGUGGCUUUUCCACGGUGUAAGGAGCCGUGGGAAUAAGAGGGGGGCAAGACUGGUGUCAGCCGCCGCGGUAACACCAGCCCCUCGAGUGGUGGGGACGAUUAUUGGGCCUAAAGCGUCCGUAGCCGGUCUGGUAAGUAUCCCGUUAAAUCCAACGACCUAAUCG